rnacentral:rRNA from 1 species
UACGGGGGGGGCAAGCGUUGUUCGGAAUUACUGGGCGUAAAGGGCUCGUAGGCGGCCAACUAAGUCAGACGUGAAAUCCCUCGGCUUAACCGGGGAACUGCGUCUGAUACUGGAUGGCUUGAGUUUGGGAGAGGGAUGCGGAAUUCCAGGUGUAGCGGUGAAAUGCGUAGAUAUCUGGAGGAACACCGGUGGCGAAGGCGGCGUCCUGGACCAACACUGACACUGAGGAGCGAAAGCCAGGGGAGCGAACGGG